AUACCGGAUGGUAUAGUUUUCCCGCAUGGGAUGAUUAUUAAAGAAUUUCGGUUGUCGAUGGGGAUGCGUUCCAUUAGGCAGUUGGCGGGGUAACGGCCCACCAAACCUACGAUGGAUAGGGGUUCUGAGAGGAAGGUCCCCCACAUUGGAACUGAGACACGGUCCAAACUCCUACGGGAGGCAGCAGUGAGGAAUAUUGGUCAAUGGACGAGAGUCUGAACCAGCCAAGUAGCGUGAAGGAUGACUGCCCUAUGGGUUGUAAACUUCUUUUAUACGGGAAUAAAGUGAGCCACGUGUGGCUUUUUGUAUGUACCGUAUGAAUAAGGAUCGGCUAACUCCGUGCCAGCAGCCGCGGUAAUACGGAGGAUCCGAGCGUUAUCCGGAUUUAUUGGGUUUAAAGGGAGCGUAGGCGGGUUGUUAAGUCAGUUGUGAAAGUUUGCGGCUCAACCGUAAAAUUGCAGUUGAUACUGGCGACCUUGAGUGCAACAGAGGUAGGCGGAAUUCGUGGUGCAGCGGUGAAAUGCUUAGAUAUCACGAAGAACUCCGAUUGCGAAGGCAGCUUACUGGAU
rnacentral:rRNA from 1 species